GGGGAUAUAGCUCAGAGGUAAGAGCGUUCGGCUCACAUCCGAAAGGUCGUAGGUUCGACUCCUACUAUCCCCACCA
rnacentral:tRNA from 1 species